AUCCUGGCUCAGGACGAACGCUGGCGGCGUGCCUAAUACAUGCAAGUCGAGCGGACUUUUAAAAGCUUGCUUUCAAAAGUUAGCGGCGGACGGGUGAGUAACACGUGGGCAACCUGCCUGUAAGACUGGGAUAACUCCGGGAAACCGGGGCUAAUACCGGAUAAUUCAUUUCCUCUCAUGAGGGAAUGCUGAAAGACGGUUUCGGCUGUCACUUACAGAUGGGCCCGCGGCGCAUUAGCUAGUUGGUGAGGUAACGGCUCACCAAGGCCACGAUGCGUAGCCGACCUGAGAGGGUGAUCGGCCACACUGGGACUGAGACACGGCCCAGACUCCUACGGGAGGCAGCAGUAGGGAAUCUUCCGCAAUGGACGAAAGUCUGACGGAGCAACGCCGCGUGAGCGAUGAAGGCCUUCGGGUCGUAAAGCUCUGUUGUUAGGGAAGAACAAGAUAUCCGGAGUAACUGCCGG
rnacentral:rRNA from 1 species